UUGAUUUUGUAACCUUGGAUUCACAUGGAGGAGGUAGAUAGACAUAGACACAGUGUCAAUUCUUAAAAUUGUUGCAAAUACCUCUCCCAUGACACUAGGUAAGGUUGCAAUCAUAGUGAAAUCUAGUGGUAUCUUAGCAAGUUUGAUUUAUACAGAUCUUCUGUGGACCACCUUCAGCAACUUCUCAUUAGUCCUGUCUGUGGCUUAAAAAAACAUCUCUGCAUCCCAACACCAUGUGACCUGUAUGAGGAACCAAGUGUUGAUGUUUUUCAAUAUGUGGGAACUUUUAGAUGUUUUCACAUAGCACCCUACCACAUUUUAUGUCACAAUUGCUGAAGACCUUAAAAAUCCCUUUAGAUUCACUACCACAGUUUCUAGACUUGUCCUGUCUCUCCUGGUAUUCAUGUGAUGAUAGCAACUUUCCUGAGCAACUUCUGUGCCCUUUCCAAAGAUUUUAACACACUGAUUCUCUAGGCUUUGCUACCAGCCUUGAUAACAAUAACCUUGUUAUUUGCCAGGGGCACCAUCUUUCUUGUAGGUAUUUAUCUGCACUAUGUCUGUACCUUGCUUGUAGGUAUUUGUCUGUAAUGGAGGCACCAUAACAGUAUUCUUGGAGAUCUGAAGUGGCAAGGUGUAGUUGCCCUUAGAAGUCAGCAGUUCUUGCAGCAGGAUCCAAAUGUACAUACUGAACCCUUCAACCAGCAAACAACAGUGAUUUUUGGACAAUCAAGGAUACUACCAUAAUCACAUUCUUCACCCUCCACUCUUUUAUUCCCAUUAUAUGAGUUUCCAAAGGAGCUUUGGAACUAAGUUUUAUGAAAUAGGUAGUCCCAUUUGUGCUUAUGUAACAGCUUGUGGAAAUAGUGGAAGCUGCAGUUGCUGAGGCCCAUAUUUACAGUAGUAAGUUUAUGUAUAAUUCAGAGGUCUGGCCAUGACAUCUGCAGGACACAUGGUCAUGCUUCAUUCUCAAGUUGUGGCCACACUCAUGAGCUAUGACAGUUGCGUAAUGUGGCAUAUCUUCUAGAGAAAGAUUCAAAAUGGAUUGCAUUCUAAAUAGUGCAGAUAUCACUGAGAAAUGAAUGGUCCUGGUACUUCCCAAGACUUUGGCCAAUAAUCAUCAUUAUGCUUCACCCUUCUCAAAAUAUGCUAGUCUCUCCAGAAGUGAAACAUUUAAAGUACUCCCUACACAGGGCUGUGUUCAUUAGGUUUCUCUCUGUCCACAUGUCUAGUAAAUAUUGCUUUCACUUUUAGCUCCUUCAUGUACCUGUUGACCAGGGCAUGGGCAUCCAUUAUAUCAUAUUGUCUUGGUAACACUAUUCUUUGGAAUUGCUUAUUGUCAACAACAAUAACACUUUAACAUACUUGGGAAAUGUCCACAUUUGGGCAUAGUAUCUGAAGAUGGUCCUAUUCAGCUCUGAAAUUGUGAAAUGGUUGAGUUUUCACAAUUUUUAUCUUCACAAGACCUGAUUUUAAAGAUAGGCUAUAAAUGAUAAGCUCAAAAGUUUUUGAAGUAUAGUCUUGAUGCGAAAGAAUACCAUGUAAAGUCAAGAUUCUCUUUAGCCCUGAGCAAGUGCCAAGAGUCGCAAGAGAAUCCAGAUCACCUCUGAAUACCCAUCCUGAAUAAAAGGCAUGCCCAAACCCAGUUUUCUAUUUUGAAGUGUAUAACUAGGGAAGUUCUUGACAAAUAAGACUUUCUUUUGAUUCAAAUUAAUAAUACUCCAUUUUCCUUGAAUCAGCAGAUAGGUCAUAGGCCACAUCUUAUGCUUUUUCUUCCAAUUGUCUGAACAUUGUUAGAUUUCUAUGGAUGAGUAUCUCCUAAUAAACAUGCAUCCAUUGAAGUAUAGUUACUACUAGCUAUAAGAUGACAUGUAGUUUAAUAUGGGAAGAACCCAUUCUCAAGCAUCCUACCUGGGAAGUUCUGGAAAAAAAAAAUCACUUCAAAUCUUAUCCCUAACCAGUUGAUUUCAUAGAAGAAAGGGCAGGGAAGGAGGCAAAGUAAAUAAUUGGGAUUGUCAUUGUCAUGGCCCAACUGAAAUAGCUAGUGAUCCCAGACCUCUGUCUCUCAUUUGCAUUCCCUGGAACCCAAAUCUGUCUGAGACAGUCAUUUGGCUGGACCUCAAAGCUAUGCCAGUUUGGACAGUGUUAUAUUUCUCCCCCAAAAUUGGAAGGCAGUGCAUACUAAAAGGACAGUUGCUCUUAUUCCUGAGUAUUAUAUGAUGACAACUGCUGUUUGACUUUGUCUUUUCCUGUUCCUGUUGUGCUCUUUCUUUAGGAGUGUCCUUACUUUGCAACCUCCCUCAAAGAACAAUUUUUAGUGAUCCUUAGCUGUGCUCCUGCUAUCUUUUAUAAAGGGGGUAUACCAAGGAGAAGAAAAUUUCAGAAGUCCAACCAGUACUGUGACCCAGAAUCUAACUCCUAGAAAAGAAAAAACUACAUAACCACUUUUUCCUCAGUUCCUGUUCUCCUGGAAUAGCUUUCUCCUGUCAUCUAUUACUUUUUUGAGUCAUUGAAGCUAAAGGUUCCAGAGCAGGGGUUUUGGAUCUUUGGUUAGGUCACAGACCUCUGCUGUCCCAUGCCUUUUGCACCAUUUCCUACUCUGUACCAUAUAGCCCAUUUCAAACCUCUGAUCCUUUUCUCUUUUUCCUCUAUUUUUCACAAUAUAUAUACUUAUUUGCUCAAUCCUAGAAUAUAUGUAAAUUAUUUUUAGAAUAACUAACCCUGCCUCUGUAAAAAGCAAAUAUAUGAACUAGAGAACCAUGUUUGUGUUGAGUUAUUUUUAUAUUUAGCCUUCCAGUAUGAGGUCAAAAUAAUGUUCUUCAAAAUUAUUUAGGUUAAUACUUUUCCAUCUAGACCUAUUCAGUGUGGUUAUAUUAUUCAUUUUUAUUAUAGUAUGGCUCAUAUAUUACUGCUUGUAUUUCCUUUUGGUUUAUAAAAUGUUACUAUGAUUCUAAAAGUUAGCACUAUAGAAAAAAAUGUACUCCAAGUAUACCUCCUUUAGUCUUUAACCUGUUCCCAUGUCCUCAUUCUUUCCAUCCAGAUUCUACUCACCAAUCUCAAUAGUAUUUAGUUGUUGUUUUUUUAAUUUCUUUCUGCAAAUUAGCAGAUAUAUGUAUACUUUCUUUUAUCCCUUCUUAUGUAAAAGUAGCGUGACAUUUUACACUUUCCUUUUUAAACUUACAUUAUUAAUCUUAUAAAUCACUCCAUAAAAGUUUAUAAAGAUCUUUCUCAUUUUUCUUUACAGCUGCAUAGUACUCCAUCUUGUAGAUAUUCCUUAAUUUUUUCAAUCAUCCUCUUGUGUAUAUCCUUUUAGUUGUUUACAUUGUUUUGAAACUACACACAUGCAUUAAUAAUCCUAGAAAGGGGAAGGCAGUGCUAACUGCUUUUGUAACUUUGUUUGAUAUUGCCAAUCCUCUUUCAGAAGGGUUUUGCCAGUUUGCAUUCCCACUAGCAAUGUAUUAAUGUCUGCUCCUACAGUCUAAGAAACAAAAUAUUUUAAUUUUCACCAAACUGAUAGGUGACAAAUAGCAUUUUAGUGUUCAUUUGUAUUUUCUAGUUUGAAUGAUUUUGGACAUGUUUUAAUAUGUUUAAGGACCAUUUUUAUAUUUUUAGUUUUGGUCAAAUAGGAGUUUAGUAUUUAUUAUCUGACUAGAGUGAUUUUAGUUUGUUUUCCUGUAACAAUUGAUUGGGGAAAGAGUGUUUUCAGGGAGGAAAAAUUGAUACACAAGGCUCCUGGAAUUGGACAGAAUGUUUAUGAAUGGAGCUCUUCCUUUUGGUUUUUCUACCAGUAAGCUUCUACCACAUGAA